AUUAUCGGCGGACGGAUGAGUAACACGUGGGUAACCUGCCUCACAGAGGGGGAUAGCCUCCCGAAAGGAAGAUUAAUACCGCCCAAUAUGUUUUGAUCGGCUGAUCGAAAUAUCGAAGGAUUCUCUUCUCAGAUUCCACUUGGAGA
rnacentral:rRNA from 1 species